AAUAAUAGGGAUCUUCUCUUUCCAGUUCUUCCCAGAGUUGGGAAAAGCUGGAUUGAGAGGGCCAAAAAAAGAAGAA
rnacentral:pre_miRNA from 1 species